AAGAGACAGCAGCAGCCGCGGGAAUACGUAGGGUGCAAGCGUUGUCCGGAAUUAUUGGGCGUAAAGAGCUCGUAGGCGGUUUGUCGCGUCUGCUGUGAAAUCCCGAGGCUCAACCUCGGGCUUGCAGUGGGUACGGGCAGACUAGAGUGCGGUAGGGGAGAUUGGAAUUCCUGGUGUAGCGGUGGAAUGCGCAGAUAUCAGGAGGAACACCGAUGGCGAAGGCAGAUCUCUGGGCCGUAACUGACGCUGAGGAGCGAAAGCGUGGGGAGCGAACAGGAUUAGAUACCCCCGUAGUCCCUGUCUCUUAUAC
rnacentral:rRNA from 1 species